rnacentral:rRNA from 1 species
GAUGAACGCUGGCGGCGUGCCUAAUACAUGCAAGUCGAACGGAAAGGCCCUGCUUUUGUGGGGUGCUCGAGUGGCGAACGGGUGAGUAACACGUGAGUAACCUGCCCUUGACUUUGGUAUAACUUCAGGAAACUGGGGCUAAUACCGGAUAGGAGCUCCUGCUGCAUGGUGGGGGUUGGAAAGUUUCGGCGGUUGGGGAUGGACUCGCGGCUUAUCAGCUUGUUGGUGGGGUAGUGGCUUACCAAGGCUUUGACGGGUAGCCGGCCUGAGAGGGUGACCGGCCACAUUGGGACUGAGAUACGGCCCAGACUCCUACGGGAGGCAGCAGUGGGGAAUAUUGCACAAUGGGCGGAAGCCUGAUGCAGCAACGCCGCGUGCGGGAUGACGGCCUUCGGGUUGUAAACCGCUUUCGCCUGUGACGAAGCGUGAGUGACGGUAAUGGGUAAAGAAGCACCGGCUAACUACGUG